AAUACGUAGGGACCAAGCGUUGUUCGGAUUUACUGGGCGUAAAGGGCGCGUAGGCGGCAUGUUAAGUCAGCUGUGAAAUCUCCGAGCUUAACUCGGAACUGUCAGCUGAUACUGAUGUGCUAGAGUGCAGAAGGGGCAAUCGGAAUUCUUGGUGUAGCGGUGAAAUGCGUAGAUAUCAAGAGGAACACCUGAGGUGAAGACGGGUUGCUGGGCUGACACUGACGCUGAGGCGCGAAAGCCAGGGGAGCAAACGGGA
rnacentral:rRNA from 1 species